AGAGUUUGAUCCUGGCUCAGAUUGAACGCUGGCGGCAUGCCUUACACAUGCAAGUCGAACGGCAGCACGGGUGCUUGCACCUGGUGGCGAGUGGCGAACGGGUGAGUAAUGUAUCGGAACGUACCAUUCAGUGGGGGAUAACUAUCCGAAAGGAUAGCUAAUACCGCAUAUUCUGUGAGCAGGAAAGCAGGGGAUCGCAAGACCUUGCGCUGAUUGAGCGGCCGAUAUCAGAUUAGCUAGUUGGUGGGGUAAAAGCCUACCAAGGCGACGAUCUGUAGCGGGCCUGAGAGGAUGAUCCGCCACACUGGAACUGAGACACGGUCCAGACUCCUACGGGAGGCAGCAGUGGGGAAUUUUGGACAAUGGGCGAAAGCCUGAUCCAGCCAUGCCGCGUGAGUGAAGAAGGCCUUCGGGUUGUAAAGCUCUUUCGGCCGGGAAGAAAUCGCAUAGGUUAAUACCCUGUGUGGAUGACGGUACCGGAAUAAGAAGCACCGGCUAACUACGUGCCAGCAGCCGCGGUAAUACGUAGGGUGCGAGCGUUAAUCGGAAUUACUGGGCGUAAAGCGUGCGCAGGCGGUUUUUUAAGACAGGCGUGAAAUCCCCGGGCUUAACCUGGGAACUGCGCUUGUGACUGGAAGGCUAGAGUACGGCAGAGGGGGGUGGAAUUCCACGUGUAGCAGUGAAGUGCGUAGGGAUGUGGAGGAACACCGAUGGCGAAGGCAGCCCCCUGGGCCGAUACUGACGCUCAUGCACGAAAGCGUGGGGAGCAAACAGGAUUAGAUACCCUGGUAGUCCACGCCCUAAACGAUGUCAACUAGGUGUUGGGUGGGUAAAACCAUUUAGUACCGGAGCUAACGCGUGAAGUUGACCGCCUGGGGAGUACGGCCGCAAGGUUAAAACUCAAAUGAAUUGACGG
rnacentral:rRNA from 1 species